GAGUCACUUUCACAACCAAAUUCGCAAACAUUUUUAGAGGGACAAAGUUCAUCGACAAUCGUCUUUUCAUCUCAGACUCUCUCUGUCACUGCUAUUUCAGUUCUCUAUUCGAAUUGAUUCCGAGCCACAGUGAUGUUAGUUACACGAGCACCAAUCGAUUGAUUCCGAGCUUGGCGUUUGAUUCUAAUUUCGAGCUUGGAGUUCGAUUCUGAUUCUGAGCCCUUUCCACGGAUUUGAUUUCUUUGUUUAUGCAAAAUCUCAAACACAAAAUUGCAUUCCCUAGGUAACUGUAGACGUAGUUAGGGGAUACCUGCACAAGUCAUUGUCUGCCACUGUGGAGUUCAUAAUUGAGAGU